GGUUCCCUGAGAAUACAAGUAUUUUGAAAAAACGUCAACAUAUGAAAUGUUGGUGAGUUCAUAAGUAGUGUUUGAAAUCGAAUGUUUAUAUUCUUUGAAAAACCACCAGAAAAUCCGAUAUUUUCUGAAAAGAAAAGCUUUCAAAAACGUUUGUGAAGAUCCAUAGGUAUGCUUGUUUGUUUCUAUACUUGUAAAAAAAUGUUCGUUGAAGAUGUAUGCGUUUCAAAUCUGUAUGUAAUGAAAACCCUAGGGAAACCCGAUGUUCCCCUAGUUCUUUUGAAAUCCCUUGAGUUGCGUUGAAAACAUUAUGAAAAUAGCAGUAUCGGUCCCAAGCGACGUUGGAAGGUUCUCGAGCAUUGAUUAUUUACUACAAACCCGCAUUACACAAACGCCCAGUUUGUAGUUAUACUAACGAACCCGAAGGCGUCGUCUGUACUAAUCACGUUAUCCAAUCGCCCGGACUAUGUGUAGUCCCACAUCCGAAGAGAAAGAGGUCACGAAGACCCCGGUAACUCUAUUAACCGGCUGGGGAAAAUAUGCGUGCGAGGGGUCCCCGACCCGCCUCGUAAAAUGUGUAGACUUUUCUAGCAAUACCAUGGACCCUUGGGGACCAGUGGUACAAGCCAUUGAAAGUCACCCUACGUUGUGCCAAGUCGGUAAAACUCAACACUUCGUAGAAAAAAAAUGUCUUCGGGCCUUAAGAUCAGGUCAUUGGGCUAGCUAGGCCCAACAAACAAGAUUUUACACUUUUGGGGCCCGAAGAUGGUGCGUAGACGUCUGUGCACACUCGUAUGUAUAUGUAUUACCAAUCGUUAUUUGUAUGUAUCAAAGAGUUAGUAGUUGUAGAUUUCCAUUGGCUCGAGACCGAGCCAAUUCGUUUAGCAACGACUUUUGGUAUUGUAAUGAGUUGUAUUUCGUUGAUAGUCGAGGUGUCAUUAUUUGAUCAAAUUGUACACAUUGAAUCAGCCUUGAAAUAUUUCUGUUUUCAGCCCCUCAUUAUUUGUAAAAUUUACAUUUUCAACCCUUUUAUUUAAAUAUUUCCCGGUUUGGUCCUUAAACUAUUUUUCUUGACAUUUUAACACCAAAAAUUAUUGAAAUUAAUAUUUUCCAGCAUAUUUUUCAAAGAAAACAGUUUAAGUCCCUGAAAAUGCAGUUUUUCUCGGUUUUAGCCCAUCUUUUCGCAAUUUUGACAAUUUUGGCCCAAAAUGGAAAAUUUUUGCAACUUUGGUCCUUUUUAAAUUUAAAAAGCAUUUUAAACCUUUGAAAAGGGUUUGGGACACUUAUAGUCCACUGUUUUACAGAAAUUCACAGUUUUGGCCCUUCAAAACAGAAAAAUUCGCAUAAUGGGCCUUAUUGGGCCGAAAUUUUCAUUUUUAGCCCAAUAGGCUUGAAAUUUAUGUUUUUAAUCCACCAAUUGAAUAGAAUUCCAGAAAUAGUUUUAUGAAAACUGUUUUGGCACAUUCCAACCAUCAGAAUCUGUAAAAUGUCAAUUUGGGCCCUUAAUUUUGUAUUUUUCACAUUUUUGGCCCAAAAUGUGUGUUUUUAGCUUAAAGAAAAUUGUUGCUAACCACUUGGCUAUUUAUCUAGUAUCACUUAUUAUGUAGGAACAUAUUUGAAGCUAAUAUCAUAAAACAUGAGUUAUAUCUCGGUUUUGAGGGGUUUAAUGGCUAGAUCCAACAUUAAAACACAUAUAAGCAUACAUAUAAGCAUGGAAAUCAUACAAGGCAUACAAAUACAUAUAGAUCUACACUUUCACUUGUAUUCCCCCCCACAAAAACUCUUAAAAACAGAAAAUAGGGGUAUGAAUCUCACCUUGAGUGGGUAGUUUCGGUUCUUGAAGAAAAAUUGGAAGAAAUGAAGUGAUUUUUGGCCCUUGCACUCCUUGAUGAACUUUUCGAGAUUAUGGGGUUUCUAGAGUGCAAGAUCACGGUUUUUACAUGGAUUAGGAAGAGAUUUUGAUAAUAAAAGAAUUUAAACCAUAGAUCUAUGCAUAAUCUUACCUUAGAUGAUGAUUUACUUGCAAAAUCCUCUUGGAAAGUCCCUAAAUUUCGAGAUUUUUGGAGAGGGGAGGGAAGGAGAGUUCUUUGAGUGUUCUAGAGAGAAAGUUGAGAUAUUUUGGUGUGUGUGAUGAUGCUUGGCCGAGAGCAAGAAGAGAAGAGAGAAAGAAGUGACUCUUGAAGUGAUACAUGCAUGGAGGUAUGUGAUAUAUGCCUAGAAAUCCAUUAGGUAAUAGUGAGGUGGCAACACUAGUCAAUUCCCCUUGGAUUUGGGCCUUGGGCCGAGAAUAUGAAGGGAAAGAGGAAAAAUUUGGGCUUUUGCCCCCAAGCCCAACAUUAGAGGUAGUUUAGGGUAUUUAUUGGACUUAUAAAAUAAAAUUGUGAUUUUUGUGCUUUAUUAAGCUAGGUUAGGUUUAAUUAUGGAUCAAAACUUGUGUUUUAUUUCCUUCUAGGUUCUACCUAGCCCAAAAUAUUGAAAUAAACGAAUGUGGGUCCAAUUAGAGCCCAAUUAGGGUCCUAAACCCAUGAUAGUCCAAUUGGAAGCUUAUUGGUCCAUUUGGAUCCAAUAAGGAAGUCUUAGUCCAAAAUGGACUUAACCAAAACUUCUAGGGUCUCCAAUUGUUUGAUGACUAUCUAUAGUACUUGUAUCUUGUAUUUGGUUAAAGUUUUUGAUUCACAUUAACUUGAAUGUAUAGAUUACAUAGCUUAAAAUUCACAGUGGUGACAUCAUCCCCCCGUUAAAGGGAAUUUCGUCCCGAAAUUCUGUUUGAAAGCUAGAUUUGAGAAAACUAGAAUAGGUGAGGGUACUUCUGCUUCAUUUGAUCUUCGCGUUCCCACGUGAAUUCUGGCCCACGCUUUGCGUUCCACCGUACCUUCACGAUCGGGAUGCGACUCUGCUUAGUACGCUUCACCUCCCUGUCCAUGAUUUCGAUUGGUUCUUCGACGAACAGGAGAUUCUCAUUGAUUUCGAUUUCGUCAAGAGGAAUGAUAAGAGUUUCAUCUGAUAGGCACUUUUUCAGAUUAGAAACAUGAAACACGGGGUGCACACCGUUUAGCUCCGGGGGUAGUUGUAGUCUGUAGGCUACCGGACCUAUUCGGGCGACGAUUUCGAAAGGUCCAAUGUACCGUGGGUUUAGCUUUCCUCGUUUUCCGAAACGUAUAACCCCUUUCCAGGGUGAGACCUUCAACAAUACUCGAUCACCGACCUGGAACUCUAAGGGCUUUCGCCGUUUAUCAGCGUAGCUCUUUUGCCGGUCACGCGAUGCCUGUAAUCGAGCUUUGAUCUGGACAAUCUUUUCUGUGGUCUCGCGAAUGAUUUCCGGUCCUGUCAUUGCCCUAUCCGACGUAUGUGUUCUUGCUAGCUGGGUGUCACCUACUUCAGCCCAACAUAACGGUGAUCUACAUUUACGCCCGUACAGUGCUUCGAAAGGGGCCACCUUAAUGCUCGAAUGAUAACUAUUGUUAUAUGAAAACUCGAUCAACGGUAGGUGGGUAUCCCAAGACUUUCCGAAGUCUAUCACACAUGCACGAAGCAUGUCUUCAAGCGUCUGAAUGGUUCGUUCGCUUUGACCGUCCGUUUGUGGGUGAUACGCGGUGCUCAUAUCAAGAUGAGUUCCCAUUGCCUUGUGGAGCGACUGCCAAAAGCGUGACGUGAACCUACUGUCCCUAUCCGAGAUGAUAGAUUUUGGCACUCCAUGAAGUCUUACAAUCUCUCGUAGGUACAAACGCGUCAGCCUCUCCAUCUUGUAGGACUCUUUGAUUGGCAGGAAAUGGGCAGAUUUCGUCAGUCGGUCGAUUAUUACCCAUAUGGUGUCCAAUCCGUCCGACGUCUUGGGCAGCUUGGUCACGAAGUCCAUAGAAAUCCCCUCCCAUUUCCACUCAGGGAUUGCCGGUUGCUGUAACAAUCCGGAAGGUUUCUGGUAUUCCACUUUUACUUUGGCACACGUAAGGCACUUACUAACAUAAGUUGCGAUUUCCGCCUUCAUGUUAGGCCACCAAUAGUGCUGCUUAAUGUCCAAAUACAUCUUGUCCGAACCAGGAUGAAUGGAGUAUCGUGUCUUGUGGGCUUCCUUCAUAACGGUCUCCCUGAAUCCUCCGAUUUUUGGAACCCAAAUACGGUUCAUGAAGUAGUAUACCCCAUUCUCUUUGACUUCCAGGUUCUUCUCCAUUCCGCGUAAUGCCUCGCUAGUUCUAUUUUCCGCUUUCAUAGCCUCUGCCUGGACUGAUGCAAUUUGAGUGGUCAGAUGAGACUGAAUGGUUAUCGAGUGCGUUUUCGUACGGCGAUUUGUGUAUUCCUUCCGACUUAAUGCGUCAGCUACCACGUUGGCCUUGCCUGGAUGGUACUUGAUCUCGCAUUCGUAGUCGUUUAACAAUUCCACCCAUCUUCGUUGUCUCAUGUUCAGCUCCUUCUGAUUCAAGAUGUGCUGGAGGCUCUUGUGGUCCGUAAAGAUGGUGCACUUUGUACCGUACAGGUAGUGCCUCCAAAUUUUUAGAGCGAAGACCACAGCUCCCAGUUCUAGGUCAUGGGUUGUGUAAUUUACUUCGUGCGCCUUUAGUUGACGGGACGCAUAUGCUAUCACUCUUCCACGUUGCAUGAGAACGCAACCUAAGCCUUGAUUUGACGCGUCACAGUAAACUACAAAAUCUUCCGUUCCUUCAGGUAGAGAUAGUACAGGAGCGCUGCAAAGAGCUUGCUUCAAGGUUCGAAACGCAAUCUCUUGUCGGUCUGUCCACUUGAAUGGCACGCUCUUUUGCGUAAGCAAGGUAAGUGGCUUGGCGAUUUUUGAGAAGUUUUGGAUGAAUCUCCUAUAGUAGCCUGCUAGGCCUAAGAACUGACGAAUUUCUGUGGGCGUAGUCGGAGUUGCCCAUCCUUCCACAGCUUUGACCUUAGAGGGAUCCACAUGAAUUCCAUCUUGGCUAACUACGUGACCUAGAAAAUUCACGCUCCGUAGCCAAAACUCACACUUAGAGAGUUUGGCGUAAAGCCUUUCCGAUCGCAGCGUCUCUAGGACUUGUCGGAGAUGUUGGCCAUGCUCCUCUUUGCUUCGAGAAUAGACGAGGAUGUCAUCGAUAAACACAAUGACGAAGUUGUCCAAGAACGGUCGACAGAUUCGGUUCAUUAGGUCCAUAAAUGCGGCAGGUGCAUUUGUUAGACCGAAGGGCAUUACGACGAAUUCAUAAUGUCCAUAGCGGGUUCGGAAAGCGGUUUUAGGAAUAUCUUCUUCUCGGACCUUGAGUUGAUGGUAUCCGGACCGUAGAUCUAUUUUAGAAAAAUAGCUAGCUCCUUGGAGCUGGUCGAAUAGAUCAUCGAUUCGCGGGAGUGGGUAGCGGUUUUUAACAGUGAGUUUAUUCAACUCUCUGUAAUCGAUGCACAUUCUGAAAGAUCCAUCCUUCUUUUUGACAAAGAGCACCGGAGCUCCCCAUGGCGAGUAGCUAGGUCGGAUAAAUCCCUUGUCCAGAAGCUCACUGAGUUGGCUGGACAAUUCCUGCAUUUCAGCAGGUGCCAACCGAUAUGGUGAUUUAGCGAGAGGAGUUGCUCCUGGAACGAGGUCGAUUCGGAACUCAACCUGUCUCUCUGGGGGUACUCCUGGAAGAUCUUCGGGAAACACGUCCGGAAAUUCACACGCUACCGGAAUGUCUUGGAUGUUAGUUUCUUCUUUGGUCUUGUCCACUAUGUGGGCCAAGAACGCUAAGUUGUUCUUUCGCAGAUGUUUUUGUGCUUUGAUGCACGAGAUAAGACGAAGAUUCGUGCUAGGUUUGUCUCCGUAAAUUACUAGGGUUUCGUGAUUCGGGAGACGAAGGCGAACGGCCUUCUCGUGGCACAUAAUCUCAGCAUGGUGGGGGCUUAACCAAUCCAUGCCGAUAAUCACAUCGAAACUCCUAAUUGAUACUGGCAUUAGGUCUAUUCGAAAGACGUGCUGGUUAAGGGUUAGGGUACAUCCGAUGUAGAUCUCCCUAGUGGAUUCGGUUUUCCCAUUGGCCAUUUCCACCGUAUAGGUUUCAUUUAGCUUCUGGGGUUGUUGUUUUAGUAAAUGUUUAAACUUCUCGCUUACGAAACUUCGCUCCGCUCCGGUAUCAAAUAAGAUGCAUGCAUAAGUGUGGUUUAGGAGAAACGUACCGGUCACAACUGCGGGGUCCUGAACUGCAUCACUCUGACCCAUAGUCAGCAUUCUUCCUGCUCCUCUGUUUCCUGAGUUGUUGUUGUUAGGGCAAUCUCGACGGAAAUGUCCCGUCCUUCCACACCCGAAACAGGUGUGGCUAGGCCCUGCGUUGUUGCCGCCGGCAUUGGUGUUGUUGGUGUUGCGGUGGUUGUUGUUGUUGUUCUGGUUGUUUCCCUGACUCUGGUUCUGAGAAGGAUAAGUCCUGCAGAACUUUGCAGUGUGUCCCCUUCGGUUGCAACUGGUGCAAUGGAACUCCCUACAUUCUCCUUGGUGAUGGAAACCGCACUUGUUGCAUUUGGGAUGAGUGCCGGAAUAGGGUCUUGAAGUAUUUGAAGUAGCUGAGGCUGGAGCAUGUGAUGUGACUGGUACCGGCGCAGUGACAGCGUGAACUGCCACCGUUUGCUGCUUUUUAGAGGUCUCGGGACCUUGACGCCCCUUCCUCUUGUUGUUCCAUCCUUUCUUACCAUCGCUCUCCUUCUUCUUCUCAGUCUCUACCGGUUUCUCGCCCUUUUUGUGGUUAUGAUCAUAGAGCCUCUUUGCCAAUCUCUUCGCGCUGUCAAACGUUUCAGGGUUAGCAGCUAUCACGUUCCCUUGAAUGGGGGAUGUCAGUCCCCAAAUGAAUCGUUCAAUCUUCUUCCCCUCUGAUGUGAUCAUACCCGGGCACAACAGAGAUAGUUCGCUGAAUCUCGAUAUGUAAGCAUCGAUGUUCCCAUUCUGCACCGUGAGAUUCCAUAGUUCCUGCUCCAUCUUCUGUAUUUCGCCUCGGGGGCAGUACUCAGCCGUCAACAUCUCUUUCAUCUCUGCCCAGGGAAUAGAGUUGGCGACAGGGAGUGUCAUAGCUUCCACAUGACCAUUCCACCAAGUGAGUGCUUGGUCCACAAAAGUGCAGGCCGCGAACUUCACUUUCAUCUGCUCGGGGCACUCGCAUAUCUCGAAUACCGACUCUACCUUCUCGAUCCAUCGCUUUAGGGCGAUCACUCCUCCGGUACCGUUGAAAGUUCGGGGUUUAGCGUUCGCAAAAUCCUUGUAGGUGCACGUUUUAGUGAGUCCUUGGUUCGUCCCGUUGUUCGAACUUCCGGAUCCUUGCCCGUUACCUCCUCCGUUGUUCCCUCGGUGAAGUUGUGCCAUAGCCGCUGUGACCGCAGCAGACACGGCUGCCUGGAAAGCAGUGGAGUCAACUUCCGGCGGGGUUGGUUCGGGAUUUCCGCGAGUAGCUGGGCGAGGCAUCUUUCUGUCAUGAAACGGAAAGAUGUUGAGUGUACGUGGUUUCGGUGAGGUUAUGAUCCUACUAACUAGGUGUAGGGUACGAACCUAAGCAUUACUAUCAUCAAGCAUACAAUCAUAACACCUCAACACAUAACAACUGAGAAUAUCAUAGCAAAACACACAAAAGUUUAUUAAUAUUAUCCGUGUUUAGUACAAGAAAAUUUGCUCGUAGGAGCAUACAUAAGUAACACUAAUCCGACAGCAUAACGGCUCCAUGAGUAGUGUAGUCACUUAAACAUAGAGCCGGAGUACAUAACAUAGUUACUAAUAUCCUACUACGAUAGGUCUAUCCCUAACCGCGAUGAGCUGCGUCAGGAGGUGGUGCCGAAGUCAUAUGCCGAAAUGUUGCGCCAGUAGCUGCGCCAUCUCUGCCAUGUCUCCUAUAACUUCAUCCCUCUCGUGCUCUGCUCUCACUGCCCGAGCUUCCAUAGCAUACAGCUGUUGUCGCAGUGCGGCGAUCUCAGCUUCGAGGGAACGGUUCUCCCUUGGGGGGUUCACUGGUGGAGCGGGGUGAUCUGGUUGUGCCUCGUCCUCGCAUGGUGGGAUGGGGUCCUGGCCCCCGACCUGACCCUCCUCGUCGUCAUCGUCGACCUCUCCAAAUUCGUAGUCGGUGUCUAUAUAUUCGUCGGGUUCGACGUCGUGUGCUUCUCCUGGAUGCUCUCCCGGCUCAUCCACCAGCAUCCCGUGAGCUACUAAGGCCUGAUGAAACUGGAUACCCGGCUGCUCCUCCUCAGGCUCCUCCUCCUCCUCUAGCCACCCGUUGUUUCCCUGAUUAGGGAAGUAGGGGUCUCCAGGGUGAUGAAAACCAGCCAUGCUGUCUGCGCGAGUACGUAAUUAUGCUACAUUAUUCCUAGGGUACUAUGACUAUUACACAGACUAAGCAAAUAUUCUCUUUUUGGGUGAUAUAGGGUAAAAUUUUUAGGUUCCCUGGCUAUUCCGAUCUCAUCAAGACAUGUGUUAGUUUUACCUUGGAGAGAAUGUAGUUGAUCAGGCUACAUUCACUCCUUGGUAUCACUAAGAACAGUCCCGAAUUAACCGAGAUACCAGUAUUAUGGUGUUUGAUUCAGCGUUAGGUCCUUACUCCUAAUGCAAGCAAGUGUAUUUUAUUCAUUUGUUUUGUUCAGAGUUAUGUUAGUCCCUCUUUUUGGUUUAUAGUUGCAUAUCAAUGUAUGGCUCGACAUGCUAGUUCACUAUAAACAAAGCUCUGAUACCAACCUGUCACACCCCCGAACCAGACGGCGGAAACGUCCGGGGGCUGUCGUGACUCAAUUGAAUACCAUAACAUUGAAUAUAUAUGAAACAAAACAACAUUCGUCACCAUUCAUCAACAUAGUACAACCAGUAGUGUUUACAUGUCAUACAUUGUUUAAGACAUUACAUUUCCAAAAAUUAAUGUUGUUUGGUUCAUUCAAAAAUAAACUGCAACCGUCACUGAGUAUGAUUUCCCUUGAUUCACUGGUUCCCUGAGAAUACAAGUAUUUUGAAAAACGUCAACAUAUGAAAUGUUGGUGAGUUCAUAAGUAGUGUUUGAAAUCGAAUGUUUGUAUUGUUUGAAAAACCACCAGAAAAUCCGAUAUUUUCUGAAAAGAAAAGCUUUUGAAAACGUUUGUGAAGAUCCAUAGGUAUGCUUGUUUGUUUCUAUACUUGUAAAAAAAAAUUUCAUUGAAGAUGUAUGCAUUUCAAAUCUGUAUGUAUUGAAAACCCUAGGAAAACCCGAUGUUCUCCUAGUUCCUUGAAUUACAUGAAGUUACAUUGAAACCAUUGCAUAGCGUAUAGUGUCAGUCACAGGCGACGUUGGAAGGUUCUCGAGCAGGAUUAUUUACUACAAACCCGCGUUACACAAACGCCCAGUUUAUAGUUAUACUAACGAACCCGAAGGCGUCGUCAGUACUAAUCGCGUUAUCCAAUCGCCCUGACUAGGUGUAGUCCCACAUCCGAAGAGAAAGAGGUCACGAAGACCCCGGUGACUCCAUUAACCGGUUGGGGAUAAAAUGUACGAGGGGUCCCAGACCCGCCUCGCAAAAAGGCAGACUCCACUGGCGACACUAAAGGACCCUUGGGGACCAGUAGUCUACAGCCAUUGAAAGUCCGGUUACGUCGUGUCGGAUUGGUAAAACCCAACACUUCGUAAGAUAGAGGUCUUCGGGCCUUAAGAUCAGGUCAUUGGGCUAGCUAGGCUCAACGAACAAGAUUUUACACUUUUGGGGCCCAAAGAUGGUGCGUAGACGUCUGUGCACACUCGUAUGUAUAGUGAAUUCCAAAUCGUUAGUUGUAUGAAUCGUAGUGUCGUAGUGUCAUAGCGUCAUAGGGUCGUAGUGUCAUAGUGUCGUAGUGUUAGUAGUUUCGGAUUUUAUUGGUUCGAGACCGAACCAAUUCGUUUAACAACGACUUUUGGUAUUGUAGUGUAUUGUAUUUCGUCGAUAGCCGCGAUGCCAUUAUUUAAUCAAAUUGUGUAUAUUGAAUUAGCCUUGAAAUAUUCCUGUUUUCAGCCCCUCAUUAUUUGUAAAAUUUACAUUUUCAACCCUUUUUAUUAAAUACUUCCCGGUUUGGUCCUUAAACUAUUUUUCUUGACAUUUUAACACCAAAAAUUAUUGAAAUUAAUAUUUUUCAGCAUAUUUUUCAUAGAAAACAGUUUAAGUCCCUGAAAAUGCAAUUUUUCCGGUUUUAGCCCCUUCUUUUCGCAACUUUGACAAUUUUGGCCCAAAUUGUGAAACUUUUGCAACUUUGGUCCUUUUUAAAUUUGGAAAGCAUUUUAAACCUUUGAAAAGGAUUUGGAACACUUAUAGUCCACUGUUUUACAGAAAAUUACAGUUUUGGCCCUCCAAAACAGAAAAAUUCGCAUAAUGGGCCUCAUUGGGCCGAAAUUUUCAUUUUUAGCCCAUUAAGCUUGAAAUUUAUGUUUUUAAUCCUCUAAUUGAGUAUAAUUCCAGAAAUAGUUUUAUGGAAACUGUUUUGGCACACUUCAUCCAUCAGAAUCUGUGAAAUGUCAAUUUGGGCCCUUAAUUUUGUAUUUUUCACAUUUUUGGCCCAAAAUUUGUGUUUUUAGCUUAAAGAAAAUUGUUACUAAACCAUUUAGCUAUCUUUCUUGAAACACUUUGUAUGUAGAAAUACAUUUCAUGCUAAAAUCAUAUAACAUAAGUUAUAUCUCGGUUUUGAGGAGUUUUAUGGCUAGAUCCAACAUUAAAACACAUAAAAGCAUACAUAUAAGCAUGGAAAUCAUACAAGGCAUAUAAACACAUAUAGAUCUACACUUUCACUUGUAUUCCCCCCCCCCAAAAAAAAAACUCAUAAAAACAGAAAAUAGGGGGUAUGAAGCUCACCUUGGGUGUGGAUUCGGUUUUUGAAGAAAGAUUGGAAGAAAUGAAGUGAUUUUUGGCCUUUGCACUCCUUGAUGAACUUUUCGAGAUUAUGGGGUUUCUAGAGUGCAAGAUCAUGAUUUUUGCAUGGAUUAGGAAGAGAUUUUUGAUAAAUAAGGAAUACAAGUCAUAGAUCCAAGCAAAACCUUACCUUAGAUGAUGAUUUUGUGGAAGAACUUCCUUGAAUGCUUCCUAAUUUUCGAGAUUUUGGAUGGAGAAGAGGAAGAAGUCUUGAGUGAAUUUUAGAGAGAGUUUGUGAGUGUUUUGUGUGUGUGUGGUGUUGCUCUCGGCCGAGUUCAAGAAGAGAGAGGGAGAUGUAGACAUGAAGUGAUGUGCAUGGAUACAUGGAAUGGAUUUGCAUGGAGAUCCACAAGACAAUAAGGAGGUGGCACACUAAGGUCAACCCUCUUCUUGGGCUUGAGCUUUUGGGCCGAGAAUAAUGGAGGAAAUGAGGGUGUUUGGGCCUUAAAUACUUAAGCCCAAUUCUCAUGGUUAAGUUGAGUGAUUUUUGGUCCAAUUAAAUUUAAAUGUGAUUUUUAUGACUUGUUAGGGUCAAAUUAGGUUAAUUAUGGUUCAUAGUCAUUAAUUUAUUUCAUUCUAGGUCCAACAUGGCUCACAAUAUUGAAAUAAAUAGAUGUGAGUCCAAUUAGAGCCCAAUUAGGGUUCUAAGCCCAUGAUAGUCCAAUUGGAAGCUUAUUGGUCCACUUGGAUCCAAUAAGGAAGUUCUAGUCCAAAAUAGACUUAACAAGAACUUCUAGGGUUUUCCAAUUGUUUGAUGACUACUUGUAGUACUUGUAUAAUGUAUUUGAUUGAAGUUUUUGAUUCACAUUAACUUGAAUGUUUAGAUUACAUGACACAAAAUUUCCAGUUGUGACAUAAUCCCCCCGUUAGAGGGAAUUUCGUCCCGAAAUUCUGUUUGAAAGCUAGAUUUGAGAAUGCUAGAAUAGGUGAGGGUACUUCUGCUUCAUUUGAUCUUCGCGUUCCCACGUGAAUUCUGGCCCACGCUUUGCGUUCCACCGUACCUUCACGAUCGGGAUGCGGCUCUGCUUAGUACGCUUCACCUCCCUGUCCAUGAUUUCGAUUGGUUCUUCGACGAACAGGAGAUUCUCAUUGAUUUCGAUUUCGUCAAGAGGAAUGACAAGGGUUUCAUCUGAUAGGCACUUUUUCAGAUUAGAGACAUGAAACACGGGGUGUACACCGUUUAGCUCCGCGGGUAGUUGUAGUCUGUAUGCUACUGGACCUAUUCGGGCGACGAUUUCGAAAGGUCCAAUGUAUCGCGGGUUCAGCUUUCCCCGUUUUCCGAAACGUAUAACCCCUUUCCAGGGUGAGACCUUCAACAAUACUCGAUCACCGACCUGGAAUUCUAAGGGCUUUCGCCGUUUAUCAGCGUAGCUCUUUUGCCGGUCACGCGAUGCUUGUAAUCGAGCUUUGAUCUGGACAAUCUUUUCUGUGGUCUCGCGAAUGAUUUCCGGUCCUGUUAAUGCCCUGUUUGACGUAUGUGUUCUUGCUAGCUGGGUGUCACCUACUUCAGCCCAACAUAACGGUGAUCUACAUUUACGCCCGUACAGUGCUUCGAAAGGGGCCACCUUGAUGCUCGAAUGAUAACUAUUGUUAUAUGAAAACUCGAUCAACGGUAGGUGGGUAUCCCAAGACUUUCCGAAGUCUAUCACACAUGCACGAAGCAUGUCUUCAAGCGUCUGAAUGGUUCGUUCGCUUUGACCGUCCGUUUGUGGGUGAUACGCGGUGCUCAUAUCAAGAUGAGUUCCCAUGGCCUUGUGGAGCGACUGCCAAAAGCGUGACGUGAACCUACUGUCCCUAUCCGAGAUGAUAGAUUUUGGCACUCCAUGAAGUCUUACAAUCUCUCGUAGGUACAAACGCGUCAGCCUCUCCAUCUUGUAGGACUCUUUGAUUGGCAGGAAAUGGGCAGAUUUCGUCAGUCGGUCGAUUAUUACCCAUAUGGUGUCCAAUCCGUCCGACGUCUUGGGCAGCUUGGUCACGAAGUCCAUAGAAAUCCCCUCCCAUUUCCACUCAGGGAUUGCCGGUUGCUGUAACAAUCCGGAAGGUUUCUGGUAUUCCACUUUUACUUUGGCACACGUAAGGCACUUACUAACAUAAGUUGCGAUUUCCGCCUUCAUGUUAGGCCACCAAUAGUGCUGCUUAAUGUCCAAAUACAUCUUGUCCGAACCAGGAUGAAUGGAGUAUCGUGUCUUGUGGGCUUCCUUCAUAACGGUCUCCCUGAAUCCUCCGAUUUUUGGAACCCAAAUACGGUUCAUGAAGUAGUAUACCCCAUUCUCUUUGACUUCCAGGUUCUUCUCCAUUCCGCGUAAUGCCUCGCUAGUUCUAUUUUCCGCUUUCAUAGCCUCUGCCUGGACUGAUGCAAUUUGAGUGGUCAGAUGAGACUGAAUGGUUAUCGAGUGCGUUUUCGUACGGCGAUUUGUGUAUUCCUUCCGACUUAAUGCGUCAGCUACCACGUUGGCCUUGCCUGGAUGGUACUUGAUCUCGCAUUCGUAGUCGUUUAACAAUUCCACCCAUCUUCGUUGUCUCAUGUUCAGCUCCUUCUGAUUCAAGAUGUGCUGGAGGCUCUUGUGGUCCGUAAAGAUGGUGCACUUUGUACCGUACAGGUAGUGCCUCCAAAUUUUUAGAGCGAAGACCACAGCUCCCAGUUCUAGGUCAUGGGUUGUGUAAUUUACUUCGUGCGCCUUUAGUUGACGGGACGCAUAUGCUAUCACUCUUCCACGUUGCAUGAGAACGCAACCUAAGCCUUGAUUUGACGCGUCACAGUAAACUACAAAAUCUUCCGUUCCUUCAGGUAGAGAUAGUACAGGAGCGCUGCAAAGAGCUUGCUUCAAGGUUCGAAACGCAAUCUCUUGUCGGUCUGUCCACUUGAAUGGCACACUCUUUUGCGUAAGCAAGGUAAGUGGCUUGGCGAUUUUUGAGAAGUUUUGGAUGAAUCUCCUAUAGUAGCCUGCUAGGCCUAAGAACUGACGAAUUUCUGUGGGCGUAGUCGGAGUUGCCCAUCCUUCCACAGCUUUGACCUUAGAGGGAUCCACAUGAAUUCCAUCUUGGCUAACUACGUGACCUAGAAAAUUCACGCUCCGUAGCCAAAACUCACACUUAGAGAGUUUGGCGUAAAGCCUUUCCGAUCGCAGCGUUUCUAGGACUUGUCGGAGAUGUUGGCCAUGCUCCUCUUUGCUUCGAGAAUAGACGAGGAUGUCAUCGAUAAACACAAUGACGAAGUUGUCCAAGAACGGUCGACAGAUUCGGUUCAUUAGGUCCAUAAAUGCGGCAGGUGCAUUUGUUAGACCGAAGGGCAUUACGACGAAUUCAUAAUGUCCAUAGCGGGUUCGGAAAGCGGUUUUAGGAAUAUCUUCUUCUCGGACCUUGAGUUGAUGGUAUCCGGACCGUAGAUCUAUUUUAGAAAAAUAGCUAGCUCCUUGGAGCUGGUCGAAUAGAUCAUCGAUUCGCGGGAGUGGGUAGCGGUUUUUAACAGUGAGUUUAUUCAACUCUCUGUAAUCGAUGCACAUUCUGAAAGAUCCAUCCUUCUUUUUGACAAAGAGCACCGGAGCUCCCCAUGGCGAGUAGCUAGGUCGGAUAAAUCCCUUGUCCAGAAGCUCACUGAGUUGGCUGGAUAAUUCCUGCAUUUCAGCAGGUGCCAACCGAUAUGGUGAUUUAGCGAGGGGAGUUGCUCCUGGAACGAGGUCGAUUCGGAAUUCAACCUGUCUCUCUGGGGGUACUCCUGGAAGAUCUUCGGGAAACACGUCCGGAAAUUCACACGCUACCGGAAUGUCUUGGAUGUUAGUUUCUUCUUUGGUCUUGUCCACUAUGUGGGCCAAGAACGCUAAGUUGUUCUUUCGCAGAUGUUUUUGUGCUUUGAUGCACGAGAUAAGACGAAGAUUCGUGCUAGGUUUGUCUCCGUAAAUUACUAGGGUUUCGUGAUUCGGGAGACGAAGGCGAACGGCCUUCUCGUGGCACAUAAUCUCAGCAUGGUGGGGGCUUAACCAAUCCAUGCCGAUAAUCACAUCGAAACUCCUAAUUGAUACUGGCAUUAGGUCUAUUCGAAAGACGUGCUGGUUAAGGGUUAGGGUACAUCCGAUGUAGAUCUCCCUAGUGGAUUCGGUUUUCCCAUUGGCCAUUUCCACCGUAUAGGUUUCAUUUAGCUUCUGGGGUUGUUGUUUUAGUAAAUGUUUAAACUUCUCGCUUACGAAACUUCGCUCCGCUCCGGUAUCAAAUAAGAUGCAUGCAUAAGUGUGGUUUAGGAGAAACGUACCGGUCACAACUGCGGGAUCCUGAACUGCAUCACUCUGACCCAUAGUCAGCAUUCUUCCUGUUCCUCUGUUUCCGGAGUUGUUGUUGUUGUUAGGGCAAUCUCGACGGAAAUGUCCCGUCCUUCCACACCCGAAACAGGUGUGGCUAGGCCCUGCGUUGUUGCCGCCGGCAUUGGUGUUGUUGGUGUUGCGGUGAUUGUUGUUGUUGUUCUGGUUGUUUCCCUGACUCUGGUUCUGAGAAGGAUAAGUCCUGCAGAACUUUGCAGUGUGUCCCCUUCGAUUGCAACUGGUGCAAUGGAACUCCCUACAUUCUCCUUGGUGAUGGAAACCGCACUUGUUGCAUUUGGGAUGAGUGCCGGAAUAGGGUCUUGAAGUAUUUGAAGUAGCUGAGGCUGGAGCAUGUGAUGUGACUGGUACCGGCGCAGUGACAGCGUGAACUGCCACCGUUUGCUGCUUUUUAGAGGUCUCGGGACCUUGACGCCCCUUCCUCUUGUUGUUCCAUCCUUUCUUACCAUCGCUCUCCUUCUUCUUCUCAGUCUCUACCGGUUUCUCGCCCUUUUUGUGGUUAUGAUCAUAUAGCCUCUUUGCCAAUCUCUUCGCGCUGUCAAACGUUUCAGGGUUCGCAGCUAUCACAUUCCCUUGAAUGGGGGAUGUCAGUCCCCAAAUGAAUCGUUCAAUCUUCUUCCCCUCUGAUGUGAUCAUACCCGGGCACAACAGAGAUAGUUCGCUGAAUCUCGAUAUGUAAGCAUCGAUGUUCCCAUUCUGCACCGUGAGAUUCCAUAGUUCCUGCUCCAUCUUCUGUAUUUCGCCUCGGGGGCAGUACUCAGCCGUCAACAUCUCUUUCAUCUCUGCCCAGGGAAUAGAGUUGGCGACAGGGAGUGUCAUAGCUUCCACAUGACCAUUCCACCAAGUGAGUGCUUGGUCCACAAAAGUGCAGGCCGCGAACUUCACUUUCAUCUGCUCGGGGCACUCGCAUAUCUCGAAUACCGACUCUACCUUCUCGAUCCAUCGCUUUAGGGCGAUCACUCCUCCGGUACCGUUGAAAGUUCGGGGUUUAGCGUUCGCAAAAUCCUUGUAGGUGCACGUUUUAGUGAGUCCUUGGUUCGUCCCGUUGUUCGAACUUCCGGAUCCUUGCCCGUUACCUCCUCCGUUGUUCCCUCGGUGAAGUUGUGCCAUAGCCGCUGUGACCGCAGCAGACACGGCUGCCUGGAAAGCAGUGGAGUCAACUUCCGGCGGGGUUGGUUCGGGAUUUCCGCGAGUAGCUGGGCGAGGCAUCUUUCUGUCAUGAAACGGAAAGAUGUUGAGUGUACGUGGUUUCGGUGAGGUUAUGAUCCUACUAACUAGGUGUAGGGUACGAACCUAAGCAUUACUAUCAUCAAGCAUACAAUCAUAACACCUCAACACAUAACAACUGAGAAUAUCAUAGCAAAACACACAAAAGUUUAUUAAUAUUAUCCGUGUUUAGUACAAGAAAAUUUGCUCGUAGGAGCAUACAUAAGUAACACUAAUCCGACAGCAUAACGGCUCCAUGAGUAGUGUAGUCACUUAAACAUAGAGCCGGAGUACAUAACAUAGUUACUAAUAUCCUACUACGAUAGGUCUAUCCCUAACCGCGAUGAGCUGCGUCAGGAGGUGGUGCCGAAGUCAUAUGCCGAAAUGUUGCGCCAGUAGCUGCGCCAUCUCUGCCAUGUCUCCUAUAACUUCAUCCCUCUCGUGCUCUGCUCUCACUGCCCGAGCUUCCAUAGCAUACAGCUGUUGUCGCAGUGCGGCGAUCUCAGCUUCGAGGGAACGGUUCUCCCUUGGGGGGUUCACUGGUGGAGCGGGGUGAUCUGGUUGUGCCUCGUCCUCGCAUGGUGGGAUGGGGUCCUGGCCCCCGACCUGACCCUCCUCGUCGUCAUCGUCGACCUCUCCAAAUUCGUAGUCGGUGUCUAUAUAUUCGUCGGGUUCGACGUCGUGUGCUUCUCCUGGAUGCUCUCCCGGCUCAUCCACCAGCAUCCCGUGAGCUACUAAGGCCUGAUGAAACUGGAUACCCGGCUGCUCCUCCUCAGGCUCCUCCUCCUCCUCUAGCCACCCGUUGUUUCCCUGAUUAGGGAAGUAGGGGUCUCCAGGGUGAUGAAAACCAGCCAUGCUGUCUGCGCGAGUACGUAAUUAUGCUACAUUAUUCCUAGGGUACUAUGACUAUUACACAGACUAAGCAAAUAUUCUCUUUUUGGGUGAUAUAGGGUAAAAUUUUUAGGUUCCCUGGCUAUUCCGAUCUCAUCAAGACAUGUGUUAGUUUUACCUUGGAGAGAAUGUAGUUGAUCAGGCUACAUUCACUCCUUGGUAUCACUAAGAACAGUCCCGAAUUAACCGAGAUACCAGUAUUAUGGUGUUUGAUUCAGCGUUAGGUCCUUACUCCUAAUGCAAGCAAGUGUAUUUUAUUCAUUUGUUUUGUUCAGAGUUAUGUUAGUCCCUCUUUUUGGUUUAUAGUUGCAUAUCAAUGUAUGGCUCGACAUGCUAGUUCACUAUAAACAAAGCUCUGAUACCAACCUGUCACACCCCCGAACCAGACGGCGGAAACGUCCGGGGGCUGUCGUGACUCAAUUGAAUACCAUAACAUUGAAUAUAUAUGAAACAAAACAACAUUCGUCACCAUUCAUCAACAUAAUACAACCAGUAGUGUUUACAUGUCAUACAUUGUUUGAGAUAUUACAUUUCCAAAAAUUAAUAUUGUUUGGUUCAUUCAAAAAUAAACUGCAACCGUCACUGAGCAUGAUUUCCCUUGACUCACUGGUUUCCUGAGAAUACAAGUAUUUUGAAAAACGUCAACAUAUGAAAUGUUGGUGAGUUCAUAAGUAGUGUUUGAAAUCGAAUGUUUAUAUUGUUUGAAAAACCACCAGAAAAUCCGAUAUUUUCUGAAAAGAAAAGCUUUCAAAAACGUUUGUGAAGAUCCAUAGGUAUGCUUGUUUGUUUCUAUACUUGCAAAAAUUGUUCAUUUAAGAUGUAUGCGUUUAAAAUCUGUAUGUGAUAAAAACCCUAGGGAAACCCGAUGUUCCCCUAGUUCUUUUGAAAUCCAUUGAGUUGCGUUGAAACCAUUAC
rnacentral:lncRNA from 1 species